rnacentral:rRNA from 1 species
CAGUCGCCACGGUAAUACGUAGGGUGCGAGCGUUAAUCGGAAUUACUGGGCGUAAAGCGUGCGCAGGCGGUUUUGUAAGACAGGCGUGAAAUCCCCGGGCUCAACCUGGGAAUGGCGCUUGUGACUGCAAAGCUAGAGUGCGGCAGAGGGGGAUGGAAUUCCGCGUGUAACAGUGAAAUGCGUAGAUAUGCGGAGGAACACCGAUGGCGAAGGCAAUCCCCUGGGCCUGCACUGACGCUCAUGCACGAAAGCGUGGGGAGCAAACAGGAUUAGAUACCCCGGUAGUCCCUGUCUCUUAUAC